UAGGGAAUCUUCGGCAAUGGACGAAAGUCUGACCGAGCAACGCCGCGUGAGUGAAGAAGGUUUUCGGAUCGUAAAACUCUGUUGUUAGAGAAGAACAAGGACGUUAGUAACUGAACGUCCCCUGACGGUAUCUAACCAGAAAGCCACGGCUAACUACGUGCCAGCAGCCGCGGUAAUACGUAGGUGGCAAGCGUUGUCCGGAUUUAUUGGGCGUAAAGCGAGGGCAGGCGGUUUCUUAAGUCUGAUGUGAAAGCCCCCGGCUCAACCGGGGAGGGUCAUUGGAAACUGGGAGACUUGAGUGCAGAAGAGGAGAGUGGAAUUCCAUGUGUAGCGGUGAAAUGCGUAGAUAUAUGGAGGAACACCAGUGGCGAAGGCGGCUCUCUGGUCUGUACCUGACGCUGAGGCUCGAAAGCGUGGGGAGCAAACAGG
rnacentral:rRNA from 1 species